AUUUUCGGUAUUUAAAAAGUUCAAUUACCCAUUAUUCUCUUAUUUUCAAUAACCAUCCAAAUACAAUUUUUCUAGUUCCAGCUUAUACCCACAUUUUUAUCCAAACAAAAAAAAAUCCUUGUUCCUACGAAAAUCCAUACUUGUAUCUAUCCCCGGUAUAACUAGUUCUUGCUUAUACCCGAACCAAACGAAGCCAUAUAUGUUUCUAUAAAAUUUCCCACUUUCAUAUACCUUAUUAGAAAUCUAAUAUGAAAAUUACUCUUAUAAUUAAAAUUUUUCUAUUGUAAAAAGCAACCUUAUAAAGUUUCAACCUCUUUGAGAUAUAUUUCUAAAGUUUGAUUCUGUUAGUGCAUCAUUAACAAAAAAUCAUUAUCCCUUAUGAAAUUACCAUUUUGCCUAUUUAAAUAUAUAUUAUACUCACUACAGAAAAAAGUUCUCAUAAAGGCGGUUUUUAGUUAU
rnacentral:lncRNA from 1 species